rnacentral:rRNA from 1 species
GAUGAACGCUGGCGGCGUGCCUAAUACAUGCCAGUCGAGCGAACGGACGAGAAGCUUGCUUCUCUGAUGUUAGCGGCGGACGGGUGAGUAACACGUGGAUAACCUACCUAUAAGACUGGGAUAACUUCGGGAAACCGGAGCUAAUACCGGAUGAUAUUUUGAACCGCAUGGUUCAAAAGUGAAAGACGGUCUUGCUGUCACUUAUAGAUGGAUCCGCGCUGCAUUAGCUAGUUGGUAAGGUAACGGCUUACCAAGGCAACGAUGCAUAGCCGACCUGAGAGGGUGAUAGGCCACACUGGAACUGAGACACGGUCCAGACUCCUACGGGAGGCAGCAGUAGGGAAUCUUCCGCAAUGGGCGAAAGCCUGACGGAGCAACGCCGCGUGAGUGAUGAAGGUCUUCGGAUCGUAAAACUCUGUUAUUAGGGAAGAACAUAUGUGUAAGUAACUGUGCACAUCGUGACGGUACCUAAUCAGAAAGCCACGGCUAACUACGUG